GGCGGGGUGGCGGAGCGGCCAAACGCAGCUGCCUUGAAAACAGCCGUCCGGGCAACCGGACCAGGGGUUCGAAUCCCUUUCCCGCCG
rnacentral:tRNA from 1 species